rnacentral:rRNA from 1 species
GACGAACGCUGGCGGCGUGCUUAACACAUGCAAGUCGAACGGAAAGGCCAUGAUUUUGUGGGUUGGUCGAGUGGCGAAGGGGUGUGUAAAACGUGAGUAACCUGCCCUUGACAUACGGAUAACUUCAGGGAACAGGGGCUAAAACAGGAUAGGAGCUCCUGCUGCAUAGUGGUGGUAGGAAAGAUUCGGCGGUGUGGUAUGGACUCGCUGCUUAUAAGCUUGUUUGGGAAGUAGUGGCUUAACAAGUCUGUGACGGGUAGCCGACAUGCGAGGGUGACCGGCCACAAGACUACUGAGCUACGGCCCAGACUCCUACCGGAGGCAGUAGGCGAGAACCUUGCACAACAGGCCCACGCGUGUUGCAACAACCCCGCGUGCGGAAUAACGGCCUUCUGGUUGUGAACCGCUUUGUCCUGUGACGAAGCGAGAGUGACGGUACUUGGUAAAGAAGCACCGGCUAACUACGUG